rnacentral:rRNA from 1 species
AGAGCGAACGCUGGCGGCAUGCUUAACACAUGCAAGUCGCACGGUCAGGUUUCGGCCUGGUAGUGGCGGACGGGUGAGUAACGCGUAGGUAUCUAUCCGAAGGUGGGGGAUAACGGCGGGAAACUGCUGCUAAUACCGCAUAUGACCUGAGGGUCAAAGGUCGCAAGACCGCCUGUGGAGGAGCCUGCGUACGAUUAGCUUGUUGGUGGGGUAAAGCCUACCAAGGCGACGAUCGUUAGCUGGUCUGAGAGGAUGAUCAGCCACAUUGGGACUGAGACACGGCCCAAACUCCUACGGGAGGCAGCAGUGGGGAAUAUUGGACAAUGGGGGCAACCCUGAUCCAGCAAUGCCGCGUGUGUGAAGAAGGUCUUCGGAUUGUAAAGCACUUUCGACGGGACGAUGAUGACGGUACCCGUAUAAGAAGCCCGGCUAACUUCGCGCCAGCAGCCGC